rnacentral:rRNA from 1 species
CCUACGGGAGGCAGCAGUGAGGAAUAUUGGUCAAUGGGCGGGAGCCUGAACCAGCCAAGCAGCGUGAAGGAUGACUGCCCUACGGGUUGUAAACUUCUUUUAUAAAGGAAUAAAGUGAGGCACGUGUGCCUUUUUGUAGGUACUUUAUGAAUAAGGAUCGGCUAACUCCGUGCCAGCAGCCGCGGUAAUACGGAGGAUCCGAGCUUUAUCCGGAUUUAUUGGGUUUAAAGGGAGCGUAGAUGGGUUGUUAAGUCAGUGGUGAAAGUUUGGGGCUCAACCGUGACAUUGCCAUUGAUACUGGCAGCCUUGAGUACAGUUGAGGUAGGCGGAAUUCGUGGUGUAGCGGUGAAAUGCUUAGAUAUCACGAAGAACUCCGAUUGCGAAGGCAGCCUAC